GAUCCUGCGUGAUCAUUGA
rnacentral:snRNA from 1 species